GACGAACGCUGGCGGUGUGCCUAAUACAUGCAAGUCGAGCGGACAGAUGGGAGCUUGCUCCCUGAUGUUAGCGGCGGACGGGUGAGUAACACGUGGGUAACCUGCCUGUAAGACUGGGAUAACUCCGGGAAACCGGGGCUAAUACCGGAUGGUUGUUUGAACCGCAUGGUUCAAACAUAAAAGGUGGCUUCGGCUACCACUUACAGAUGGACCCGCGGGGCAUUAGCUAGUUGGUGAGGUAACGGCUCACCAAGGCAACGAUGCGUAGCCGACCUGAGAGGGUGAUCGGCCACACUGGGACUGAGACACGGCCCAGACUCCUACGGGAGGCAGCAGUAGGGAAUCUUCCGCAAUGGACGAAAGUCUGACGGAGCAACGCCGCGUGAGUGAUGAAGGUUUUCGGAUCGUAAAGCUCUGUUGUUAGGGAAGAACAAGUACCGUUCGAAUAGGGCGGUACCUUGACGGUACCUAACCAGAAAGCCACGGCUAACUAUGUGCCAGCAGCCGCCGUAA
rnacentral:rRNA from 1 species